CCAAUAGCGUAUAUUAAAGUUGUUGCAGUUAAAAAGCUCGUAGUUGAAUUUCGGGAUUAGUACGUUGGUCGUGCCUUAGGUACGUACUGGUGUUACUGGUUCCUACCUUCUGACGAACCAUCAUGUCAUUAAUUUGGUGUGGCGGGGAAUCAGGACUGUUACUUUGAAAAAAUUAGAGUGUUUAAAGCAGGCUCGCGCUUGAAUACAUUAGCAUGGAAUAAUGAAAUAGGACGUUGACCCUAUUUUGUUGGUUUCUAGGAUUGACGUAAUGAUUAAUAGGGAUAGUUGGGGGCAUUAGUAUUCAAUUGUCAGAGGUGAAAUUCUUGGAUUUAUUGAAGACUAACUACUGCGAAAGCAUUUGCCAAGGAUGUUUUCAUUAAUCAAGAACGAAAGUUAGGGGAUCGAGGACGAUCAGAUACCGUCGUAGUCUUAACCAUAAACUAUGCCGACUAGGGAUCGGAUGAUGUUAAUUUUUUAAUGACUCAUUCGGCGCCUUACG
rnacentral:rRNA from 1 species